rnacentral:rRNA from 1 species
UGAGGAAUAUUGGUCAAUGGACGCAAGUCUGAACCAGCCAAGUAGCGUGCAGGAUGACGGCCCUAUGGGUUGUAAACUGCUUUUAUAUGGGGAUAAAGUGGGGAACGUGUUCCCUUUUGCAGGUACCAUAUGAAUAAGGACCGGCUAAUUACGUGCCAGCAGCCGCGGUAAUACGUAAGGUCCGAGCGUUGUCCGGAAUCAUUGGGCGUAAAGGGUACGUAGGCGGGUAAGCAAGUUAGAAGUGAAAUCCUGUAGCUCAACUACAGUAAGCUUUUAAAACUGCUCAUCUUGAGAUAUGGAAGGGAAAGUGGAAUUCCUAGUGUAGCGGUGAAAUGCGCAGAUAUUAGGAGGAAUACCGGUGGCGAAGGCGACUUUCUGGCCAUAAUCUGACGCUGAGGUACGAAAGCGUGGGUAGCAAACAGG